rnacentral:lncRNA from 1 species
GUUGAAAGUAAUUAUGGGAAAGCUUAUACUAUUUAGUCUCAUAUAAUCAUGAUAACUUCAGUCUUCAAUCUUAACCCUUGAAGGAGCUGUGGUUUAACGGUCAAGGUACUGUGUAAAAUAUUGUGUAAGAAAUUACGUGUUAUCCAUGCAUACAUCAGAAAUAAAUUAAACUCGAAAGUUCUUUUUGGUCAUUAAGAAUCAAGAUCAAAAUGGCAUGAAUUAAUAAUUCUCUUCAGAUUCAUUGAACUGCUUUUUGAGGUUAACAAGAAAGAUUCAAGAACUCUGGAGAUGAUUAUUAAUUGUAUUUCAAUUCGAAUUUUAUAAAGCAUUUCAAAAGUAGGAAUUAAGACUGGUAAAACUUAGUGAACAAAUUAAUUAAGCCUUCCUCUAUUACAUCAUUGUAAGAACGUUUUUGGAGUAUUCAAAUGGUACGGUGGUCGUCCAUAUAUACAGUAAUACAGAUGCAUCAGCAUUUAUACCAUUUCGCAAAUUCAAAGUAAAAGUUCAAAUUAACAUCAUUAACUUUUAAUACCAGAAUGUGAUUGUCAUGUCAAAUUCUUUAAUAAUUAACAGCGUUCAAAGUAAAAGUUCAAAUUAACUUCCAAUACCAGAAUGUGAUUGUGUUGACAAAUUAUUUAAUGAUUAACAGAGGGCAUCUAGAUAUUCAAGUUCGGUGUAAGUAAUGGAUUAAAUUAAUGUUGAGUUGAAUUAAAUUAUCAGUAAAAACAUUUUUUAUUAUGUUUUCAAUGGUAAGUACUCUUUGAAUCCCUACAGUUUGAAUUAAUUAUCUAAUUGGUCACUAUAUUUUAAAACAUUACUCAAAAGGUCAAUUCGAAUCUACUUAAUAUAUUAUCACCUAUUUCUCACCUGCUCCACAUCAAAUUCAUUUAAAAUUUUAAGUUGUUUUAGACAAAAAUGCUGUUUUACUCUUUUUUAAAAUGAAAUAUUAUUUCAUCCUUAAAAAGUUAUAUUUAACAGCAACAAAAGUAACGACAAGGGGUGUUUUGGUUAAUAUUAAAAAAUAAAGAGACAAAUGAGUAUUUGGCUUUGUUUGUAAGAGUUAAAAAAGCAUUUACCCCAUUUUAUUAUAUAAAAACAAUUUGUGAUGCUAAAGGCUUAACAGCUUUGACAAGAUUGCGCAUGCAAUUAUGCCUAACAUUACUUCCAUUGUGCAAUAAGAAAAAUUUAAAAUUUUCGAUCGAAGUUGAAGUUAAAUUAAUCACGAUUCAUGAUGAUCAGUAAUACUUGUUUCUUGGGUGCACUUCAAUUGAUUGUGAAUAUGCUUUGCAUUCGUAGCGGCUGUUUUUUUUUUUUUUU